rnacentral:rRNA from 1 species
ACGAAGGGGGCUAGCGUUGCUCGGAAUGACUGGGCGUAAAGGGCGCGUAGGCGGUUUGGACAGUCAGAUGUGAAAUUCCUGGGCUCAACCUGGGGGCUGCAUUUGAUACGUUCGGACUAGAGUGGGGAAGAGGGUCGUGGAAUUCCCAGUGUAGAGGUGAAAUUCGUAGAUAUUGGGAAGAACACCGGUGGCGAAGGCGGCGACCUGGUCCUUGACUGACGCUGAGGCGCGAAAGCGUGGGGAGCAAACAGGA